rnacentral:rRNA from 1 species
GUGGGGAAUAUUGGACAAUGGGCGCAAGCCUGAUCCAGCCAUGCCGCGUGUGUGAAGAAGGCCUUCGGGUUGUAAAGCACUUUUGUCCGGGAAGAAAUCUUCCAGGUUAAUACCCUGGGAGGCUGACGGUACCGGAAGAAUAAGCACCGGCUAACUUCGUGCCAGCAGCCGCGGUAAUACGAAGGGUGCAAGCGUUACUCGGAAUUACUGGGCGUAAAGCGUGCGUAGGUGGUUCGUUAAGUCUGCCGUGAAAGCCCCGGGCUCAACCUGGGAGUGGCGGUGGAUACUGGCGGGCUAGAGUGCGGUAGAGGGUGGUGGAAUUCCCGGUGUAGCAGUGAAAUGCGUAGAGAUCGGGAGGAACAUCUGUGGCGAAGGCGGCCACCUGGACCAGCACUGACACUGAGGCACGAAAGCGUGGGGAGCAAACAGGAUUAGAAACCCUUGUAGUCC